rnacentral:siRNA from 1 species
AGCACCGGGCUCCUUAUCAACGAA